CCGCGCUGUUCUUCUGGGGCGUCUCGGCGAAGGUGAGGCGGGACGGCCACCCCCGAGUGCGAACCUCCCCGGAAGGGCCCUCUGCCAACAUCCCCGACAGACGUUUUCUGCAUCCUCUGGGACCCGCAGGCUUGAGUAUUCCCCGGAAUUGGCCCAGGUCCACGCAGUCCAUCCUCUCUGGCCGCAGCAGCUCGAAGCCCAUGGGGUUUUACAAGAGUUGUAUUGGUGGGACUUCCCUGGUGGUCCAGUGGUGAAGAAUCUGCCUUCCAAUGCAGGGGGCGCGUGUUCGAUUCCUGGUCAGGGAACUAAGAUCCCACAUGCUGCAGAGCAACUAAGCCCAUGCGCCACAACUACUGAGCUCUCGCACCUCAAUGAGAGAGCCUGCAUACCGCAAACUACAGAGCCCAUGCUCCCUGGAGCCCACGUGCCACAACUAGAGAGAGAAAACCCACAUGCCACAACUAGAGAGAAGCCUGCAUGCCACAACUAGAGAGAAGUCCACGCACCACAACGAAGAGCCCACGUGCUGCAAUGGAAGAUCCCACAUGCCUCAAUGAAGAUCCCGCAUGCUACAACUAAGACCCAAAGCAGACAAUAAAUAAAUAAAUAAAUAUUAAGAAAAA